rnacentral:misc_RNA from 1 species
GUCCUACAUAAACACAUGCUGCACUCUGUCUUCUAAGUUCUGUGUCUUCUAUGUUGAUUGUGGAACUAGUUUAUUUGACCUUAAUAUUUGAAUUAGGAAGUUUUGAGCUUUGGUUUUGCUGUAAUAUUAAAAAAAUGUAUUUAAUUUUCUUCCUUUUUCCUAAAGACAUAACUGGCUUUAGAAUAGACGAGGGAUGACAGAUAGGAGAGAUCUUCACCUACUUUGUUAAAAUGUUUUUCUUCUGUUUCUAUAAUUUGAUUUUGUCAUAUUUGUUUUCGGAGAUGAGUAAUUUAAAUAUGGUUUAUUUAUGCAGAUCAAGUUGCUGAAAAUCUU